AACGAACGCUGGCGGCAGGCCUAAUACAUGCAAGUCGAGCGGGUGUAGCAAUACAUCAGCGGCGCACGGGUGCGUAACACGUGGGAAUAUGCCUCUUGGUGCGGAAUAACACAGGGAAACUUGUGCUAAUACCGCAUAAUGACUCCGGUCCAAAGAUUUAUCGCCAAGAGAUUAGCCCGCGUCUGAUUAGCUAGUUGGUGAGGUAACGGCUCACCAAGGCAACGAUCAGUAGCUGGUCUUAGAGGAUGAUCAGCCACACUGGAACUGAGACACGGUCCAGACUCCUACGGGAGGCAGCAGUAAGGAAUAUUGGACAAUGGGCGAAAGCCUGAUCCAGCCAUGCCGCGUGAGUGAUGAAGGCCUUCGGGUUGUAAAGCUCUUUGUUCCGGGACGAUAAUGACAGUACCGGGAGAAUAAGCUCCGGCUAACUCCGUGCCAGCAGCCGCGGUAAU
rnacentral:rRNA from 1 species